UGAGACUCACUGGUGUCAGGAUAACC
rnacentral:piRNA from 1 species